rnacentral:lncRNA from 1 species
GGCGGCGGCGUCCAGGCAGCAGCGGCUCCGCCCGGGGCAGCGCCGCGCAGCGCGGGCCGGGCAGAGGUGAGAGCUCUCCAGCUCUCAGCCCCACUAAACAAGGUUGCACUGUCCUGCACCGGAGCUCUCAGCUGGGGAUCCGUCCCUUUGCCCCUUGUGUUGCACAUUGGAUCUGGUAAGUAGAUGGCUCCCUGAAACUAGU